rnacentral:rRNA from 1 species
UACGUAGGGGGCAAGCGUUGUCCGGAAUCAUUGGGCGUAAAGCGCGUGUAGGCGGUUCGAUAAGUCUGCUGUGAAAGUCCAGGGCUCAACCCUGGGAUGCCGGUGGAUACUGUCGGGCUAGAGUGCGGAAGAGGCGAGUGGAAUUCCCGGUGUAGCGGUGAAAUGCGCAGAUAUCGGGAAGAACACCCGUGGCUAAGGCGGCUCUCUAGUACGGUACUGACGCUGAGACGCGAAAGCGUGGGGAGCGAACAGG